rnacentral:rRNA from 1 species
UACGAAGGGGGCUAGCGUUGCUCGAAAUGACUGGGCGUAAAGGGCGCGUAGGCGGCGGUCACAGUCAGAUGUGAAAUUCCUGGGCUUAACCUGGGGGCUGCAUUUGAUACGUGGUUGCUUGAGUGGGGAAGAGGGUCGUGGAAUUCCCAGUGUAGAGGUGAAAUUCGUAGAUAUUGGGAAGAACACCGGUGGCGAAGGCGGCAUUCUGGACCGACAUUGACGCUGAGGAGCGAAAGCCAGGGGAGCAAACGGG